AUGCAACAUCCGCCUGGAUGGAGAGGCUCCGAACCAGGAUCUCAAUAGUUAAAAAGAAUUUGGGGGGAGCAGAAAUAGAGGAGGAGGAGGAGUCAAGCAUACUUUUUUGCUUUUCUUUUUUGCCCAGAGUAAAUGUAAUCUCUUUGCUUGUUUAAAAAGGAUUUUGUUCAAACGGUCGCAUUGGUUCGACCCAAAGGACCACUUUCAGAGCAUGAGAAAAGGACACAAGAACAGCUCCAUCCUUCGGCACAUUUGCUCUCCCCCGAAAGGAGAGAAAAGUCCUGCAAUCCCCUCCAUUUGUCUGCUGCAAAAACAAGCCUGCAGCUGUUCAGUUUGUGGAGAGACACCUUCAAUCUCCUAAACUUUAGCAGAAAAUAUUUUAAAUAAAUUAUUAUUCAUAAUAAUAAAUUAUUAUCAUUAUUAA